GCUCCGGUGACCUAGUGGUUAGAGCGUCCGCCUUGGAUGCGGGAGGUUUUGGGUUCUAUCCUCGGUUGUGGUCA